rnacentral:rRNA from 1 species
GACGAACGCUGGCGGCGUGCUUAACACAUGCAAGUCGAACGGAAAGGCCCCUUUCGGGGGGUACUCGAGUGGCGAACGGGUGAGUAACACGUGAGUAACCUGCCCCUGUGUUUGGGAUAACUUCAGGAAACUGGGGCUCAUACCGGAUAGGAGCUCCUGCUGCAUGGUGGGGGUUGGAAAGUUUCGGCGGUUGGGGUUGGACUCGCGGCUUAUCAGCUUGUUGGUGGGGUAGUGGCUUACCAAGGCUUUGACGGGUAGCCGGCCUGAGAGGGGGACCGGCCACAUUGGGACUGAGAUACGGCCCAGACUCCUACGGGAGGCAGCAGUGGGGAAUAUUGCACAAUGGGUGGAAGCCUGAUGCAGCAACGCCGUGUGCGGGAUGACGGCCUUCGGGUUGUAAACCGCUUUCGCUCAUGACGAAGCUUUGUGUGACGGUAGUGGGUAAAGAAGCACCGGCUAACUACGUG